UUCGGCCCCUCAUACAGUACCGGAAGGAUCGGGAUACAAACCUAAUGUUUGAAAUUCUCGACGGAAAGAUGCUGAAGGAUGGUUAUUUAUACAAAAAAGUGGGCACUGAUUCAUUGAGCUAUUGGGGUGUAAUACCUACUGAAGCUGAACUCCUGAAGUUUGAACCUUCCAAAAGUGAUGGACCUCAGGAUGUUGAGUGGCUUACCCAGUUAGCCUACUGAAGCUGAACUCCUGAAAUUUGAACCUUCCAAAAGUGAUGAACCCCAGGAUGUAGAGUGGCUUACCCAGUUAUACGGUGACCGGAAGAAAAAGAGAAUCAUAAAUGAUUUCAAGGUUGGUCAGAAAGGAGGUGAGAAAGGAGAGGGUUCUUCAAGCUCUAGCAUGG
rnacentral:lncRNA from 1 species